GGGGUUAUGGCUCAGUGGUAGGGAGCAUGCUUGGCAUGCAUGGGGUCCUGGGUUCAAUCCCCAAUGCCUCCA
rnacentral:tRNA from 1 species